CAUUAUACCGUGAAACUGCGAAUGGCUCAUUAAAUCAGUUAUCGUUUAUUUGAUAGUACCUUACUACUUGGAUAACCGUGGUAAUUCUAGAGCUAAUACAUGCUAAAAACCCCAACUUCGGGAGGGGUGUAUUUAUUAGAUAAAAAACCAAUGCCCUUCGGGGCUCCUUGGUGAUUCAUGAUAACUUCUCAGAUCGCAUGGCUUUACGCCGGCGACGGUUCAUUCAAAUUUCUGCCCUAUCAACUUUCGAUGGUAAGGUAUUGGCUUACCAUGGUUUCAACGGGUAACGGGGAAUUAGGGUUCGAUUCCGGAGAGGGAGCCUGAGAAACGGCUACCACAUCCAAGGAAGGCAGCAGGCGCGCAAAUUACCCAAUUCCGAUACGGAGAGGUAGUGACAAUAAAUACUGAUACAGGGCUCUUUUGGGUCUUGUAAUUGGAAUGAGUACAAUUUAAACCUCUUAACGAGGAACAAUUGGAGGGCAAGUCUGGUGCCAGCAGCCGCGGUAAUUCCAGCUCCAAUAGCGUAUAUUAAAGUUGUUGCAGUUAAAAAGCUCGUAGUUGAACCUUUGGCCUGGCUGGCAGGUCCGCCUCACCGCGUGCACUUGUCCGGCCGGGCCUUUUCUUCUGGAGAACCGCAUGCCCUUCACUGGGUGUGUUGGGGACCAGGACUUUUACUUUGAAAAAAUUAGAGUGUUCAAAGCAGGCCUUUGCUCGAAUACGUUAGCAUGGAAUAAUAGAAUAGGACGUGCGGUCCUAUUUUGUUGGUUUCUAGGACCGCCGUAAUGAUUAAUAGGGACAGUCGGGGGCAUCAGUAUUCAAUUGUCAGAGGUGAAAUUCUUGGAUUUAUUGAAGACUAACUACUGCGAAAGCAUUUGCCAAGGAUGUUUUCAUUAAUCAGUGAACGAAAGUUAGGGGAUCGAAGACGAUCAGAUACCGUCGUAGUCUUAACCAUAAACUAUGCCGACUAGGGAUCGGGCGGUGUUUCUAUUGUGACCCGCUCGGCACCUUACGAGAAAUCAAAGUGUUU
rnacentral:rRNA from 2 species